GUGGAGGCUGUUCCCAGCAGGGAUCGCUGUGGGUGGCAGGUUGUGCGUGGUGGGGGCUGUUCCCAGCAGGGAUUGCUGUGGGGGGCAGGAUAUGCGUGGUGGGGGCUGUUCCCAGCAGGGAUCACUGAGGAGGGCAGGGUGUGUGUGGA